UCGAGAAUCUUCGGCAAUGGGCGAAAGCCUGACCGAGCGACGCCGCGUGUGGGAUGAAGGCCCUUGGGUUGUAAACCACUGUCAGAGGGGAUGAAGUGCACGCGGGUACUCCCGUGUGUUUGACAUAGCCUCAGAGGAAGCACGGGCUAAGUUCGUGCCAGCAGCCGCGGUAAUACGAACUGUGCGAACGUUAUUCGGAAUCACUGGGCUUACAGGGUGCGUAGGCGGCUUGUUAAGCAGGGUGUGAAAUCCCUCGGCUCAACCGAGGAAUUGCGCCCUGAACUGGCGAGCUUGAGUGGGACAGAGGUGUGUGGAACUUCCAGUGGAGCGGUGAAAUGUGUUGAUAUUGGAAGGAACGCCAGAGGCGAAAGCGACACACUGGGUCUCAACUGACGCUGAG
rnacentral:rRNA from 1 species